rnacentral:rRNA from 1 species
UUCCGGUUGAUCCCGCCGGACCUGACUGCUAUCGGAUUGAUACUAAGCCAUGCUAGUCUUUGUAGUAAUACAAGGCAUACGGCUCAGUAACGCGUAGUCAACCUGCCCUAUGGACGGGGAUAAUCUCGGGAAACUGAGCAUAAUACCCGACAGACCACUUAUCCUGGAAUGGUUAGUGGUUAAAAUGAUUCGUCGCCAUAGGAUGGGACUGCGGCCUAUCAGCUUGUUGGUGAGGUAAUGGCCCACCAAGGCGAUUACAGGUACGGGCUCUGAGAGGAGAGGCCCGGAGAUGGGUACUGAGACAAGGACCCAGGCCCUAUGGGGCGCAGCAGGCGAGAAAACUUUGCAAUGUGCGAAAGCACGACAAGGUUAAUCCGAGUGAUUUCUGCUAAAGGAAUCUUUUGUUAGUUCUAAAAAUACUAGUGAAUAAGGGGUGGGCAAGUUCUGGUGUCAGCCGCCGCGGUAAAACCAGCACCUCAAGUGGUCAGGAGGAUUAUUGGGCCUAAAGCAUCCGUAGCCUGUUCUAUAAGUUUGCGGUUAAAUCCAUAUGCUCAACGUAUGGGCUGCCGUAAAUACUGUAGAACUAGGGAGUGGGAGAGGUAGACGGUACUCGAUAGGAAGGGGUAAAAUCCUUUGAUCUAUUGAUGACCACCUGUGGCGAAGGCGGUCUACCAGAACACGUUCGACGGUGAGGGAUGAAAGCUGGGGGAGCAAACCGGAUUAGAUACCCGGGUAGUCCCAGCUGUAAACGAUGCAGACUCGAUGAUGCAAUGGCAUAGAGCUAUUGUAGUAUCGCAGGGAAGCCGUUAAGUCUGCCGCCUGGGAAGUACGUACGCAAGUAUGAAACUUAAAGGAAUUGGCGGGGGAGCACCACAAGGGGUGAAGCCUGCGGUUCAAUUGGAUUCAACGCCGGG